rnacentral:rRNA from 1 species
GACGAACGCUGGCGGCGUGCCUAAUACAUGCAAGUCGAGCGGACGAAUCGAAAGCUUGCUUUUGAUUCGUUAGCGGCGGACGGGUGAGUAACACGUGGGCAACCUGCCCUGUGGACGGGGAUAACACCGAGAAAUCGGUGCUAAUACCGGAUAACACGAAAUGUCGCAUGACGUUUCGUUGAAAGACGGCGCAAGCUGUCGCUACAGGAUGGGCCCGCGGCGCAUUAGCUAGUUGGUGAGGUAACGGCUCACCAAGGCGACGAUGCGUAGCCGACCUGAGAGGGUGAUCGGCCACACUGGGACUGAGACACGGCCCAGACUCCUACGGGAGGCAGCAGUAAGGAAUCUUCCGCAAUGGACGAAAGUCUGACGGAGCAACGCCGCGUGAGCGAAGAAGGCCUUCGGGUCGUAAAGCUCUGUUGUUAGGGAAGAACAAGUAACGCAGUAACUGGCGUUACCGUGACGGUACCUAACGAGAAAGCCACGGCUAACUACGUG